ACUUAGAACUAUUAAGUUGAUUGGAAAGGCUCAUUUGGGAUAAGGAAGCAAAAAUUGAUUAUCUCACACACACAGCAAAGUGCCAAGCAGGUGGAUGUGUCCGCACAUGAGAACUGUAACUAAAAUCUUAUGAGUGUACUGUGCUUGGUGAUUUGACAAAGCACAUGGCAUGGGUCUGACGUGCUGGAAUGCUUAGGAUGUCAAUGGCGGACAGAUGUCAGGAGAACACAGAAGAUAAAUGAAUGGUUGAGACCCCGUGCCUCCUCCCAGAAUUCUCAGCUGCUGGGCUGUGGAAAUGGUAUGUUUACUUUCUGUGUCUCCUUUAACAGUCUCCCUGAAGCCAAUCUUAAGAUCCGGUAGCUGGGCAAGCAAGCCGUUCUCGAAGUUGGUGGCUUACAAAUGAUUUGAAGGGUUGAUUUUUUCUGAGUCUUACCCAAUUAUUUCUUAUAAAACUCAUAUAUUGCUGUUUGUCCAUGAAUAAGGUAUGUUACUACUGCCAUCCGGAGUCAGGAGACUCAUGGGCCUAUUAGCCCAGCCACAUUUCACUAGCAGGAGAAUUCCUGGCAUGUGUUUAUGGUUCUGUUUGAAUGGUAAAACUUGAU